AACGAACGCUGGCGGCAGGCCUAACACAUGCAAGUCGAGCGAAGCCUUCGGGCUUAGCGGCGGACGGGUGAGUAACGCGUGGGAACGUGCCCUUUGGUACGGAAUAGCCCCGGGAAACUGGGAGUAAUACCGUAUGUGCCCUUCGGGGGAAAGAUUUAUCGCCAAAGGAUCGGCCCGCGUUGGAUUAGGUAGUUGGUGGGGUAAUGGCCUACCAAGCCGACGAUCCAUAGCUGGUUUGAGAGGAUGAUCAGCCACACUGGGACUGAGACACGGCCCAGACUCCUACGGGAGGCAGCAGUGGGGAAUCUUAGACAAUGGGGGAAACCCUGAUCUAGCCAUGCCGCGUGAUCGAUGAAGGCCUUAGGGUUGUAAAGCUCUUUCACCGGGGAAGAUAAUGACGGUACCCGGAGAAGAAGCCCCGGCUAACUUCGUGCCAGCCGCCGCAGUAACAC
rnacentral:rRNA from 1 species